CUCUCUCUCUCUCUCUCUCUCUCUCUCUCUCUACUGACAUUCUACGGAUUUUUAAAAGCUUUCUUUACAGAUUUUGGACUCUGCUGUUGUUUCAUGUUGUGUUGUUUUUCUAUUCCUUCUAUCUUGUUUUUUCUAUUUCAUUUUUGUAGCUUUGAGUAAUGGGAGAAUGAUUUUGAAGUUCUAACUAUUUCUUGUUCUUGAUUUUCCCCUUUUUAUAUGAUUUGAUUCUAUUUUUAUUUUUAUUUUUUAAUUGUGGGUUUUGGGGAGAUUAGAUUUUUCUUUAAUGGGUAGUUUUUAUUUGAAAAUUUGAGUAAUGGGUGUGGAUGAUUUUUCAUUUUAUGGGGGUUUUUUGUCAGUUUUGAGGGUCCCAACAACCUUUAAAAAAAAAUUCUUUCCUGUUUUUGAGUUAGGUGUUGGGAUGGUUGUAAUUAGGUGGGAGUCUGGAUUGUGUUUCUGGGGUGUAUUUGAAGCAAAGAAGAGCUAGAAUGAUAAGUACUAUUUUAUGUAGUUUUGAAUUCGCCGAGAUUUUGGUUUUCUGUUUGUAGAAUUUACAUUGUUGGGUUCUUUGGCUUUUUUAUUUUAUUUUUCUAGAUUGCAGGCGCAAUUUUUUAUUUUUUAUUUUUGGGAAAUUAGAUGAUUUUGAGACAUGGGUUUUCUUUAAUUUUUUAAAGAAAUAUUUAUGGAGGAUUUUUUGUUUAGAGGGGAACGGUUGAGAUUUGCGCAUUUUUGUUUUGUAAGUGAUGUGUAGCAGAAUUGGGGUGUGAUAUAUAAGCAGAUGAAAUUGCAGUGAGGUGUCGGAUGGUGAGAUGGAUCGUCGGAGUUGGCUGUGGAGGAAGAAGUCUUCUGAGAAGAGUCCUGGCGAAACCGAAAGCUCAGGGUCUUUGUCUUCUCUUUCCGAAAGGUUCUCUGAUGAGCAGGAUGCAUCAAGAGCAUCUCCAAGUCAUACUCAAUCACCAGAGAUUUCAUCGAAGCUGGCAGAUGGCGAAGUCCAUGACAGUGUGACAAGGCUGACGUCAAAGCUUGUGGAUGGUGAAGUUGAUGACAAUGUGAAGAGUCUGACUGAGAAACUAUCAGCUGCUCUUUCGAACAUCAAUGCUAAAGAAGAUUUGGUUAAGCAGCAUGCCAGAGUUGCAGAAGAAGCUGUUUCAGGCUGGGAGAAGGCGGAAAAGGAAGUAGCGGCUUUGAAGCAGCAGCUUGAAGCUGCGGCUCGGAAGAAUUCAGUUUUUGAAGAUCGAGUCCUCCAACUAGACGGUGCUCUCAAGGAAUGUGUAAGGCAGCUUCGGCAAUCAAGAGAGGAUCAAGACCAGAAGAUCCAUGAGGCUCUUCUCAAGAAAACCCGUGAAUGGGAAUCUACCAAGCUUCAGCUUGAGAACCAGCUCUCUGGACUCCAGACCCAGCUGCAAGCUGCCAAAGCCGAAGAUGCUGCCUCUGCAGAUCACGACCUCCAGAAGAAGCUCAGAGCUGCAGAGAAAGAGAACACGGCUCUCAAGCUCCAGCUCCACACUAAUGCUGAGGAGCUCAAAGUUAGGACUCUGGAGCGAGACCUGAGCACCCAAACAGCCGAAACAGCUAGCAAGCAGCAUUUGGAGAGUAUAAAAAAGGUUGCCAAGCUUGAGGCUGAAUGCCGUAGACUCCAGGCCGUGGCCCGCAAGGCAUCUUCAGUUAAUGAGCACAGGCCCAUUGGUGGAUCUUUUUAUGUAGAAUCGCUCAUGGAUAGCCUAUCGGAUAGCCGAGAACGGUUGCCUGCAGUCAAGAUCGAUACACAUAAGAUGCGUAACAUGGAGUUGAAUGAGUGUGAGCCAAGCUGUUCGGACUUGUGGGCAUCGGCUCUAAUUACCGAACUCGAUCAGUUCAAGAACGAGAAGGCCAUUGGGAAAAACUUCACAUCCUCUUCUGUAGAUAUUGAUAUCAUGGAUGAUUUCCUUGAGAUGGAAAGGCUGGUGGCUUUGCCUGAGACUAAAGAUGGUGGCUGCCACCAUGAGUCCGGAGCUGUUAUGGAUCAACCGAAUAGCCGAAACAGCCCAUUCAAAGCUGAGCUCGAAGCUGUGCUUCAGAGGGCAGAGGAAUUAGAAAAGAAGUUACAAAGUGUGGAAGGUGAGAAAGCGAGAUUGGAGAUGACAUUGGCCGAAAGCCAAGAUCAACUCAAGAUGUCGUGGAAUCAGCUGAUGGAAGCUGAGGAGAAGCUGGUGGAGUUGCAAAGGCAGUUGCAUUCGGUUAAUGAGCAGAAGCAAGCUAAGGAGAUGGAAAUAGAGGCUGCAAAUGCAAAGACAGAGGCAGUGGAAUCACAGCUCAAAACAGUGGAUUCUGAGGUUCGGACACUUCAUGCCAAAGUAGCUUCAUUGGAAGUGGUGAUUGAAGAAGAGCGGGCAUUGUCAGUGGAAGUUGCAGCGAAGUGUCGGACCUUGGAGGAUGAGCUUUCAAGGAGGAAACGUGAAGCAGAGCUGCGGUCGGCCACCUACUCCAAUGGCGAAUUGAAGACAAAACAGGAGGAGCUGGUGGCUGCUCGGAAGCUUGCAGAUUGUCAGAAGACAAUCGCCUCUCUUGGGCAGCAGUUAAAAUCAUUGGCAAGUUUAGAGGACUUCUUUCUCGAUUCCAACAUUCCAGAGCUAAUUGGAGGAUCGUUGGUUCCUGGAGGAGAACUAAGCGAUUCAUAUUUCCCAAAAAUGAAAGCAGAAUCAGCAAAAAUCAUCAAUGGUUCUAAUCCUCCAAAUGAUAUAAACGUGGAGUCGCCACUAUCAUCUAACUCGUCCUCAUUAGAAAAUCAAGCUCCCGAGAAAAUCCGAAAUGGGUUUGGAAAGCUGUUUUCUCGGAGUAAGAACACUAGUACUUGUAAAGAAAAUCAAUGAAGGAAAAAACAAAAUCGACAGUUUCCAUGUUCAUUGUGCAGUGGAAGCCUAUAUACUUGGAGAGUGAUUUGAUAUUCUGGCAGUCUAUGAUGGGUGAUACUCAGGUUGUAUUCAUCUGAUCCACAUUAGAUAGAUUAUUAUCCAAAAUUCAGAUUAACUAAGCUCUCACUAAUAAGCAUUGUAUGCUGAAUUUGGACUGAAAACUUUCAUUUUGGCCAUCUCUUACAGGCCAGCUGGGAAAUCAAAUAAAUGAAAUCUUCGGUUUUGAUAGCCAUCUAAAUCGUGGCCCACUAUUUGCAUGGUGUGUUUUGAGUUCCAUCUAUGGCAUCUGUAUAAUUUCUUAGUGCAUGUAGAUCAACCGCCAUGGUCUAUUAGUGUCGAAACUUAGCUUUUUGAAGAUGAAGAGCGUUUAGCAGCUUAGCUUGUUGAAGAUGUAGAAUGUUUAGCAGACAUCUGCCAUCCUUCUAAAUUACUUAAAUGCUCUUACUAUUGGUUUUAAAA